CCUACGGGAGGCAGCAGUGAGGAAUAUUGGUCAAUGGACGAGAGUCUGAACCAGCCAUGCCGCGUGCAGGAAGACGGCUCUAUGAGUUGUAAACUGCUUUUGUACAAGGGUAAACCUGAAUACGUGUAUUCAGCUGAAAGUACUGUACGAAUAAGGAUCGGCUAACUCCGUGCCAGCAGCCGCGGUAAUACGGAGGAUCCAAGCGUUAUCCGGAUUUAUUGGGUUUAAAGGGUGCGUAGGCGGAUGGAUAAGUUAGAGGUGAAAUGUCCGGGCUUAACUCGGGAACUGCCGCUAAUACUGUUGGGCUGGAGAGUAGGUGCGGUAGGCGGAAUGGAUGGUGUAGCGGUGAAAUGCUUAGAGAU
rnacentral:rRNA from 1 species